AUUGAACGCUGGCGGCAUGCCUUACACAUGCAAGUCGAACGGCAGCGCGGGAGCAAUCCUGGCGGCGAGUGGCGAACGGGUGAGUAAUGCAUCGGAACGUGCCCGGUAGUGGGGGAUAACUGCUCGAAAGAGCAGCUAAUACCGCAUACGACCUGAGGGUGAAAGGGGGGGAUCGCAAGACCUCUCGCUAUCGGAGCGGCCGAUGUCGGAUUAGCUAGUUGGUGGGGUAAAGGCCCACCAAGGCGACGAUCCGUAGCUGGUAUGAGAGGACGACCAGCCACACUGGGACUGAGACACGGCCCAGACUCCUACGGGAGGCAGCAGUGGGGAAUUUUGGACAAUGGACGCAAGUCUGAUCCAGCCAUGCCGCGUGCGGGAAGAAGGCCUUCGGGUUGUAAACCGCUUUUGUCAGGGAAGAAAUCUUCUGGGUUAAUACCUCGGGAGGAUGACGGUACCUGAAGAAUAAGCACCGGCUAACUACGUGCCAGCCGCCGCAGUAAAAC
rnacentral:rRNA from 1 species